rnacentral:rRNA from 1 species
GACGAACGCUGGCGGCGUGCUUAACACAUGCAAGUCGAACGGUAAGGCCCUUCGGGGUACACGAGUGGCAAACGGGUGAGUAACACGUGGGUGAUCUGCCCUGCACUUCGGGAUAAGCCUGGGAAACUGGGGCUAAUACCGGAUAGGACCACUGCCUGCAUGGGUGGUGGUGGAAAGCUUUUGCGGUGUGGGAUGGGCCCGGGGCCUAUCAGCUUGUUGGUGGGGUGAUCGCCUAGCAAGGCGACGACGGGGAGCCGGCCUGAGAGGGUGACCGGCCACACUGGGACUGAGAUACGGCCCAGACUCCUACGGGAGGCAGCAGUGGGGAAUAUUGUACAAUGGGCGCAAGCCUGAUGCAGCGACGCCGCGUGAGGGAUGACGGCCUUCGGGUUGUAAACCUCUUUCAGCACCGACGAAGCGCAAGUGACGGUAGGUGCAGAAGAAGGACCGGCCAACUACGUGCCAGCCGCCGCCGUAA